rnacentral:rRNA from 1 species
CAGAGGGUGCAAGCGUUGUUCGGAAUUAUUGGGCGUAAAGGGCGCGUAGGCGGUUCGGCAAGUCUCUAGUGAAAUCUCUGGGCUCAACUCAGAGUCUGCUGGGGAAACUGCCGGGCUUGAGUGUGGGAGAGGAGAGUGGAAUUCCCGGUGUAGCGGUGAAAUGACGUAGAUAUCGGGAGGAACACCUGUGGCGAAAGCGGCUCUCUGGACCACAACUGACGCUGAGGCGCGAAAGCUAGGGGGAGCAAACAGGGAUUAGAUACCCUGGUAGUCCUAGCCCUAAACGAUGAUUGCUUGGUGUGGUGGGUACCCAAUCCCGACUGUCGCCGAAGCUAACGCGAUAAGCAAUCCGCCUGGGGAGGUACGGUCGCAAGGCUG